rnacentral:rRNA from 1 species
UACAGAGGGUGCAAGCGUUGUUCGGAAUUACUGGGCGUAAAGCGCGCGCAGGCGGAUCCUGUAAGUCUGGAGUGAAAUUUCACCGCUCAACGGUGAAGCUGCUUUGGAUACUGCGGAUCUGGAGACCGGUAGAGGCUGGUAGAAUUGCAGGUGUAGCGGUGGAAUGCGUAGAGAUCUGCAAGAAUACCCGUGGCGAAGGCGGCCAGCUGGGCCGGUUCUGACGCUGAGGAGCGAAAGCGUGGGGAGCGAACAGG